GGCAGGGUGAUAUCAUGGUUAAGAGCCCAGGCUUUGGAGUCAGGGGUCCCUGGGUUCAAAUCCCAGCUCUGCCA
rnacentral:tRNA from 1 species